AGCAUAUCAAUAAGCGGAGGAAAAGAAACUAACAAGGAUUCCCCUAGUAACUGCGAGUGAAGCGGGAAAAGCUCAAAUUUAAAAUCUGGCAGUCUCUGGCUGUCCGAGUUGUAAUCUAGAGAAGUGUUAUCCGCGCUGGACCGUGUACAAGUCUCCUGGAAUGGAGCGUCGUAGAGGGUGAGAAUCCCGUCUUUGACACGGACUGCCAGGGCUUUGUGAUGCGCUCUCAAAGAGUCGAGUUGUUUGGGAAUGCAGCUCAAAAUGGGUGGUAAAUUCCAUCUAAAGCUAAAUAUUGGCGAGAGACCGAUAGCGAACAAGUACCGUGAGGGAAAGAUGAAAAGAACUUUGGAAAGAGAGUUAAACAGUACGUGAAAUUGCUGAAAGGGAAACGCUUGAAGUCAGUCGCGUUGGCCAGGGAUCAACCUUGCUUUUGCUGGGUGUACUUCCUGGUUGACGGGUCAGCAUCAAUUUUGAUCAUUGGAAAAAGGUCAGGGGAAUGUGGCAUCCUUGGAUGUGUUAUAGCCCUUGGUUGUAUACAAUGGUUGGGAUUGAGGAACUCAGCACGCCGCAAGGCCGGGUUUUUACCACGUACGUGCUUAGGAUGCUGGCAUAAUGGCUUUAAUCGACCCGUCUUGAAACACGGACCAAGGAGUCUAACAUGCCUGCGAGUGUUUGGGUGGAAAACUCGAGCGCGCAAUGAAAGUGAAAGUUGAGAUCCCUGUCGUGGGGAGCAUCGACGCCCGGACCUGACCUUUUGUGACGGCUCCGCGGUAGAGCAUGUAUGUUGGGACCCGAAAGAUGGUGAACUAUGCCUGAAUAGGGUGAAGCCAGAGGAAACUCUGGUGGAGGCUCGUAGCGAUUCUGACGUGCAAAUCGAUCGUCAAAUUUGGGUAUAGGGGCGAAAGACUAAUCGAACCAUCUAGUAGCUG
rnacentral:rRNA from 1 species